rnacentral:lncRNA from 1 species
GUUGAGAAAUUUAAAUAUUUAAUUAUUUAUUAGGUACUAAUAGGAUGAUAAAAUUACUAAUCUAGUUAUAAGCUGCAAAUAUUAAAUUAAAACUUAAGAAAAUUAUGAGAGUAGAAGGGUUAGAUGUAUUCAUAUCAUUCAUGAAAGGUGUAUUUUACAUUGAACACAAAGUGGCUUUUUAUACUAGUAAAGCCAUGAAUAAAAACAAAUUAAAUUUACUAUUCUAAGUUGACAAAGAUAGAUAAUAAUCUAUAUUACUAUUUUAAGUUGACAUUAUCCAUGAAUAUUUCAACAUUAAUAGUGAAACAUCUCUUUCACCUUAAUUUGAUGAUUUAUUUAAUUACUUAUAACAC